AUUGAACGCUGGCGGCAGGCCUAACACAUGCAAGUCGAGCGAGCGGCGGACGGGUGAGUAAUGUCUGGGAAACUGCCUGAUGGAGGGGGAUAACUACUGGAAACGGUAGCUAAUACCGCAUACCAUCAGAUGUGCCCAGGUGGGGUUAGCUAGUAGGUGGGGUAACGGCUCACCUAGGCGACGAUCCCUAGCGGGUCUGAGAGGAUGACCAGCCUAACUGGAACUGAGACACGGUCCAGACUCCUACGGGAGGAAGCAGUGGGGAAUAUUGCACAAUGGGCGAAGGCCUGAUGCAGCCAUGCCGCGUGUGUGAAGAAGGCCUUCGGGUUGUAAAGCACUUUCAGCGGGGAGGCGUUACCCGCAGAGGAAGCACCGGCUAACUCCGUGCCAGCAGCCGCGGUAAUAC
rnacentral:rRNA from 1 species